AUCACAGACCAAGGGGAACAGUUAAACCUACCUGUCCAGAAGACAGCCAGUGUCUCAAGGACCAGUCCAGGACCAAAUAGCAGAAAUGGCACCAAGGAGAAUCACAGACUUCCAUCUUUCUGCUCUCUCUUUAAGAGCUGAACCAAGUGGUGGUUUCAUCCAGUUUAUGAAGGAGUGAUGCCUUUAUCUUGACUCAAGAGAUGCUGGAGCUCCCUUUCUUUGGCUCAUGGAGAAGCCCUCAGUAGAAGAGAAGAGUAAUACCAGCAUCUGUUGGAGGGCCAGCACGAGGAAGGGAAGCACAGACCUGUUGUGGCUCCAGGUGUGUGUACAGGCUGUCACUGGCCUUGCCUAGCAGGGGAAAAGGACCUCUGUGUCAGGUGGUGGUGAGCUGUUAACUCCUGCCUUUACAUCAGGGACAAGAAAUUCCUUCCCUGCUCAGGGACCAAUAAGUCCUUUGCUCUGCCACGCAUUAACACAUGCCUUGGUAUUACCCAGUAAACGGUGGAAUAAUAAUAAUGUGGCUACAGGCCAUCUGAAAUGAGGUUGUGGCUGUAGCUGUCCCCAUGGGCCACCUGCUCCUGCCUCCUGUGGGAGAGCUGGGGCUGGUAAAGAGGCUGUGUGUGGUAAGAGGAUAGGUAUUUAAGGAAAUGGGGUUUAAAUGAGAACUUAAUUACUCGCUUUUGGCCUCCUAACUGAGCAAGAAGAACAUGAAAACCUGAAAUUAGGCACUUGUUGCAUUCCAAUACAGGGAAGAAUGCCUCCAGUAUUUGAAAAUAAUUCGAAGAUAAAUAGAAUUAAUACUUAACAUAUGAAAGAGACAGCUAAUGUUUUGACAGACAAGCCUCCUCCUCAGAGCCAAGAACAUGCAUUACCUAAAGGAGGAAAAUCCUCAUUUGUACUGCAGGUUGCCAGGAGUCAUAAUUAAAGAACAAAAUUAGUUGAGGAGAGGAUGAAAUGGAGAGUAAAAAGAUUGUAGUUUCUUAGAUAACUCUGCAGUUGUUGCUGAAGGAGCACACAAACAUUUCUGUGUGGUUUUUUUUUUUUCUUGAUCUGUCUCUAUGUCCAUCAGAACACUCACUGCGGGUUUCCUUUUAUUAAAAAUAAAAAUAGAAAUGUCCUGCUGAGCAAGUUGUUCUGCCAUGGGUGGAGAUAAGCCUGCUUGCCCUCUGUUGUGUAGAGUCUCUGAUGUCUAAUUAGGGGUGAGGUGGGUUUUUUUGCUGUUUUAGUGAGUCCAUCAUGAGUCCAUCUUUCCUUUGUCAUCCACUUGAAUGAAGUGUGAGGGUUCCUAGAGCCUUGGAUACAACUGCUCCACUGGCACAUUUGAUGGAAAUUUCCUGGGCUGCUGAAAGGCUCCUGGAGGGGUGAAGGGGAAGGGCAGAUAACCAGUAGUAUGGACCCACCCACAGGCCAUAUAAUUGCUCAUUUCUGCAGGAAACCAGCCUGAAAUUUUGGAGAGGAUUGGACCUAUUGGUAGGAGAUUUGUUAUUCUGACGUUAUUAACACUGGCUUUGGUUACCCAGAUGUUCCCAAAAGGCAAGGAAGGGUAGAUAACAGCAGUGCCAUGGCCAGAGAAAGGUUAACUGGAAAGGAAAUCUGAGGCUUUUUUUUUUGUCAGA